GCAGCUGAGAAGGUUAUGGUUCGACUAAAAUACGUUCCUGAUUCUUCGAGUGUGAAUAAAUGAUCGUUGCAUUUCCUCAAACCAAAUCAUGGAAGCCGAUGCUGCUACAUAAAGAUUUAAGACGGAAAGCCAAAAGCCAAAAGCAGAUAAAUUUCUUUUUCUUUGUGGCUAACAAGGAGACUGCAUGCUGGUUUUUACUUUGGACCUGAAGAUUAUUGUAGAAAGUAAUCGUGUCAAAAGAUUGCAGUUAGUGGUAGUAACAAGCAUUUGAUAAAUGGGAAGCUUGCACAACCUAGUCAAGUCCAGAAUCUUUUCCACUCUGUGCAGCUUAAUAAUGUCAACAAUCCACACUUUCUCAUCAUGCAAGGUAGAAUCACCAAAGUCUUAAACAUGAAACCUCCCGAGAUACUGUGGGUGCUGGAACAAGAAUGUAUGAAAACAAGAAAGAAAGAAUGUUCAACAGUAGAGGAAGAAGAAGAAGAAGAUGAGACAUGGAGGAGCGAGAUAGUAACAAGGGUGAUGAGAAUCGUGAGCAAGAGAUUGAUCUUUUUUACUCUGCUACCUUGAUGGUCUUAAGGUUCGUGUUUCCUUUGGAAGUAGUCUUUAUCAGAUGACAGCAGAGGGCAAAGUUGAUGCAGCUCUUGAUC